CUAGUCCUCUUCCAGGGAGAAGGGCGCCUGCUCUCUGGCCGCAGAUCCCACGGAGCGACUCGGCUUUAAUAGACGAACCGGCUUAUCUCUUCCAGGAAGCCUGGCCGCAGUGUCUGCGCGGGGAUUCCCCGUUCCCGGGACGCCGGCGGGGGGGCGCCUGAGGGCUGUGGGCGCGGAGGAGGAGGCCGCGGCGGGUCCAGGUUGGCCUCCUCCCGAGCCUGUGGUGUCUCCGAGGCUCCGGACUGUCUCAGCAGGAGCUCUGGCCACAACCGAGGGCCCGGAGGAAAGUAGAGCCUGUAUUUGGUAGUCAAGACUUUUGACUCUGAAGCAUCAAGACUUCUUCGGCGUCUAAUGGAUACGCUUAUCACCCUGUGGUAAAGCUCCAGUUGGAACCCCCCAAGUCUGCAGGAUGGCAGGCACCGUGGGAAGAACUCUGCAUCCCUCAUCUCCUCGCGGCCCCACUCAUCCUUGGCGCCAGUGUUUAGCUGAGAAAACUGACCCUCGGCGGAGUUAACAGGUGGUGAAGCUUUCCGGUCUCUGCGUCUCAAAGGCCUGAGUCAUUUCCACUGUCCCCCUGUACCCAUGGCAGACAGACAGAUGGACUGUCCACUUACAGUUGUAAUGGGCCUCUUGCAGUAUGAUCAAAAUCAACUUCUCUCCUUCUCCCCUCUGCCCGCUCCUACCCACAAAAUGGGACACAUUCUUAUCUUGCCCCUAGUGGAAGCUGAGACGGGCCCAAUAGCUUCUCUGGGCACCCUCAGAUAAUACAAAAUACCUGUCCACUUUAUGUCCCAAAGGGUUUUCAUUGCAGUAAUGGGUAUGUUCCAUCCGACGUAAGGGUCCAAACUCCAGGCGUCCCUAACGGUAAAGCUUCUGGCAUGGUCUCCCCCGGCUGGUAGCAAGCUGGUAGUGGGAGAGGCUGUGCCAUGAGCUUCACCCCCAUUUCUCUGCCGUUCACCUUGCCCAGGUUGGUAAGUGGUUUCUGAUCCCUUCAGGGUCCAAGUGGUGGAGGGAGGAGGGAGAAAGGAGUCACGAAAAGUCUUACUUGUUAAGUCCUGUCUUGAACUUGCUGCCAUAUCGUAGGCUGCAUGAAGAGAAUAUCAUUUUAGCACCAACAAAAAGAGAGGCAGAUUUGUUUAGUUUUGGAGGAAUAGGAUCACUCAGAACUAGCAAUGAUCACUAAAACUUAACUGAGAUCAUUUUAUGUGCUGUGCAAACACACAAUCAGAAGCGACUACAGUUACUUUUCCCAUUUUAUGGGAAACUGAGGCUCCGAGAGAUGAGUAAUCUGUCAAGGUCAGAUAGGUCAUUAUGUGGUAGACCGGGGAUUUGGGCCCAGAGAGUCUGACUUCAGAACCUGGUCUCUUAACCUCUCUGCUAUCUGAAGUUGGAUAUCUAUCAGAGAGAAAGGUACUAUUCCUUACCAACUUGACAAUUUGCCUUCUUUCUUAUUCUAGGAAAUGUUACCAGACUGGAUAGUAUUUCCUUUUAAUAGCUGGUACUGAAGCAAAUCUAAUGAAAAUGUGUAACCUGAAAAAAAAAACACUUUCUGAAAUUGUACUAAUUUAUGAUCAUAAAGGGAACU